rnacentral:rRNA from 1 species
UGAUCAUGGCUCAGAACGAACGCUGGCGGCAGGCUUAACACAUGCAAGUCGAACGCCCCGCAAGGGGAGUGGCAGACGGGUGAGUAACGCGUGGGAAUCUACCCAGUUCUACGGAACAACAGUUGGAAACGACUGCUAAUACCGUAUACGCCCUACGGGGGAAAGAUUUAUCGAAAUUGGAUGAGCCCGCGUAAGAUUAGCUAGUUGGUGAGGUAAUGGCUCACCAUGGCGACGAUCUUUAGCUGGUCUGAGAGGAUGAUCAGCCACACUGGGACUGAGACACGGCCCAGACUCCUACGGGAGGCAGCAGUGGGGAAUAUUGGACAAUGGGCGCAAGCCUGAUCCAGCCAUGCCGCGUGAGUGAUGAAGGCCUUAGGGUUGUAAAGCUCUUUCAGUAGGGAAGAUAAUGACGGUACCUACAGAAGAAGCCCCGGCUAACUUCGUGCCAGCAGCCGCGGUAAUACGAAGGGGGCUAGCGUUGUUCGGAUUUACUGGGCGUAAAGCGCACGUAGGCGGAUUGGUCAGUUAGAGGCGAAAUCCUGGAGCUCAACUCCAGAACUGCCUUUAAUACUGCCAGUCUCGAG